rnacentral:rRNA from 1 species
AGCAAUUGCGGCAGCUAACACAUGCAAGUCGAGCGGAUGACGGGAGCUUGCUCCUUGAUUCAGCGGCGGACGGGUGAGUAAUGCCUAGGAAUCUGCCUGGUAGUGGGGGACAACGUUUCGAAAGGAACGCUAAUACCGCAUACGUCCUACGGGAGAAAGCAGGGGACCUUCGGGCCUUGCGCUAUCAGAUGAGCCUAGGUCGGAUUAGCUAGUAGGUGAGGUAAUGGCUCACCUAGGCGACGAUCCGUAACUGGUCUGAGAGGAUGAUCAGUCACACUGGAACUGAGACACGGUCCAGACUCCUACGGGAGGCAGCAGUGGGGAAUAUUGGACAAUGGGCGAAAGCCUGAUCCAGCCAUGCCGCGUGUGUGAAGAAGGUCUUCGGAUUGUAAAGCACUUUAAGUUGGGAGGAAGGGCAGUAAGCUAAUACCUUGCUGUUUUGACGUUACCGACAGAAUAAGCACCGGCUAACUCUGUGCCAGCAGCCGCGGUAAUACAGAGGGUGCAAGCGUUAAUCGGAAUUACUGGGCGUAAAGCGCGCGUAGGUGGUUCGUUAAGUUGGAUGUGAAAGCCCCGGGCUCAACCUGGGAACUGCAUCCAAAACUGGCGAGCUAGAGUAUGGUAGAGGGUGGGUGGAAUUUCCUGUGUAGCGGUGAAAUGCGUAGAUAUAGGAAGGAACACCAGUGGCGAAGGCGACCACCUGGACGGAUGCUGACACUGAGGUGCGAAAGCGUGGGGAGCACACAGGAUUAGAUACCCUGGUAGUCCACGCCGUAAACGAUGUCAACUAGCCCUUGGAAUCCUUGAGAUUUUAGUGGCGCAUCUAAGGCACUAAGUUGACUGCCUGGGGAGUACGGCCGCACGGUUAAGACUCAUAUGAAUUGACUGGGGCCCGCAAAAGCGGUGGAGCAAGUGGUUUAAUUCGAAGCAACGCGGAGAAGCUUACCAGGCCUUGACUUGCAUAGAACUUUCCCGAAAUGGAUUGGUGCCUUCGGGAACUCUGAAAAAAGGUCUGGAGGGUUGUCCUCCCCUCCUGUCCUGAGAAGUUGGGGUUAAUUCCCCGGACCGAGGGGCAACCUUUGUUCUUUUUUUUCAACCCAGGUAUUUGGGUGGGGCCCCUUAGGGGAGGGGGCGGGUGAGAAACCCGACG